AGACACAGUCUCGCUCUGUCUCUUAGGCAUGAUCUUGGCUCACUGCAACCUCCACCUCCUGGGUUCAAGUGAUUCUUCUGCCUCAGUCUCCCAAGUAGGUGGGACUACGGGUGCGCACCACCAGGCCCAGCUAAUUUUUUUUCGUAUUUUUAGUAGAGACGGGGUUUCACCAUAUUGGCCAGGCUGUUCUUUAACUCCUGACCUCAUGAUCCACCUGCUUGGGCCUCCCAAAGUACUGGGGUUACAGGCGUGAGCCACUGCACCCGGCUGGAAAAAUAUUAUUCUAGUUGUUUCAAAAUGACAAGUAACUGUUGAUCAUCUUCCGUUUAAAAUAAAAUAAUGUUGUCUUAAUGUAUUUUCGUGUCUUUUUGAAUAUUUAUCUAAUUUUAAAGGUCAAACAGGAUUUAUGCAUCAUCCAUCAUUUUUUACGUCUGAGCCACCAAGUAUUUAUCAGUGGGUGAGUUCUUGUCUGAAGGGCGAAGGAAUGCCGCCUUAUCCUUACCUCCCUGGAAUCUGUGAAAGAAGCAGACUUGUAGUCUUGAGUAUUGCACUGUACAUACUUGGUGAUGAGAGCUCAGUUUCUGAUGAAUCCUCACAGUAUUUAACCAGAAUAACUGUAGCCCCCCAGAAGUUGCAAGCAGAACAAGAGGAAAACAGGUUUAGUUUCAGGCAUUCUACGUCUGUUUCUAGUCUAGCUGAAAGAUUGGUUGGCUGGAUGACUAAUGUAGGAUUCACUUUAAGAGAUUUGGAAACUCUUCCCUUUGGAAUUGCUCUUCCCAUCAGAGAUGCAAUUUAUCACUGUCGUGAGCAGCCUGCCUCAGACUGGCCAGAAGCUGUCUGUCUCUUGACUGGACGUCAGGAUCUUUCCAAGCAGGCCUGCGAAGGAAACUUACCCAAAGGGAAGUCUGUGCUCUCAUCAGAUGUUCCUUCAGGUACAGAAACUGAGGAGGAAGAUGACGGCAUGAAUGACAUGAAUCACGAGGUCAUGUCAUUAAUAUGGAGUGAAGAUUUAAGGGUGCAGGAUGUGCGAAGGCUUCUUCAGAGUGCGCAUCCUGUCCGUGUCAACGUAGUGCAGUACCCAGAGCUCAGUGACCACGAGUUCAUCGAGGAAAAGGAAAACAGAUUGCUCCAAUUGUGUCAGCGAACUAUGGCUCUUCCUGUAGGACGAGGAAUGUUUACCUUGUUUUCGUACCAUCCUGUUCCAACAGAGCCAUUGCCUAUUCCUAAAUUGAAUCUGACUGGUAUGUUAAAUUCUGGGCUCAAUGAGAAAGGAAAAUGAUUAAGUACAUGCAUUAAGUGUAGUUCUUUAAAUUAGUUAAAACAAAAGAAAUGCUCCCUCUAUCCCCAGUGAUUUAAAAUUUUCCUAAUAGCUGCUGUAGUGGUUAUCAAAGCUCAAAUGCCAUGUGAAACUAAACUUUGAGAGAAGCAGAAUAUAGUUCAUUACUCAUUUUUGCUUUUUAAUGAGGUGAUUUCAAGAUCUAAAAAGUCACUUGGAGAAGUUCAGAAAGAUAUUAUUGAUAACGAUGAGACUUGAAUUUUAAAUAAUCUUAAGUUUAAUAUGUAAAAAUAUUUAGUUUUAAAAUGUCUUACGUCAUAGUUUAAACAGAUGAUCAUUGUAUAAAUCAAGAAAUGUACUAA
rnacentral:lncRNA from 1 species